GCAUUAUACCGUGAAACUGCGAAUGGCUCAUUAAAUCAGUUAUCGUUUAUUUGAUAGUACCUUACUACUUGGAUAACCGUGGUAAUUCUAGAGCUAAUACAUGCUGAAAACCCCGACUUCGGGAGGGGUGUAUUUAUUAGAUAAAAAACCAACGCCCUUCGGGGCUUCUUGGUGAUUCAUGAUAACUUCACGGAUCGCAUGGCCUUGCGCCGGCGACGGUUCAUUCAAAUUUCUGCCCUAUCAACUUUCGAUGGUAAGGUAUUGGCUUACCAUGGUUUCAACGGGUAACGGGGAAUUAGGGUUCGAUUCCGGAGAGGGAGCCUGAGAAACGGCUACCACAUCCAAGGAAGGCAGCAGGCGCGCAAAUUACCCAAUCCCGACACGGGGAGGUAGUGACAAUAAAUACUGAUACAGGGCUCUUUUGGGUCUUGUAAUUGGAAUGAGUACAAUUUAAACCUCUUAACGAGGAACAAUUGGAGGGCAAGUCUGGUGCCAGCAGCCGCGGUAAUUCCAGCUCCAAUAGCGUAUAUUAAAGUUGUUGCAGUUAAAAAGCUCGUAGUUGAAACUUGGGCCUGGCUGGCAGGUCCGCCUCACCGCGUGUACUUGUCCGGCCGGGCCUUUCCUUCUGGAGAACCUCAUGCCCUUCACUGGGUGUGCUGGGGAACCAGGACUUUUACUUUGAAAAAAUUAGAGUGUUCAAAGCAGGCCUUUGCUCGAAUACGUUAGCAUGGAAUAAUAGAAUAGGACGUGCGGUCCUAUUUUGUUGGUUUCUAGGACCGCCGUAAUGAUUAAUAGGGACAGUCGGGGGCAUCAGUAUUCAAUUGUCAGAGGUGAAAUUCUUGGAUUUAUUGAAGACUAACUACUGCGAAAGCAUUUGCCAAGGAUGUUUUCAUUAAUCAGUGAACGAAGUUAGGGGAUCGAAGACGAUCAGAUACCGUCGUAGUCUUAACCGUAAACUAUGCCGACUAGGGAAU
rnacentral:rRNA from 1 species